UGGGGUGUUAAUAUUUCAGAGUAAAGUUAUUUUAACCCAGAUAGAGUAUUUUCAACAUUUGGGGGAGUAAAGUUGCUCUAUCGGUGGAGUUAAAAGCGAGUGUAAAAAUCUGCAGAAACCCAGUGACAAUUUCAACUCUACAGCAGUGAUGAAUAAGUAACCCGCCACUCUGCUGUGCUCUGUGCUGUCUCAAACGUUUGGCACUCAUUUCGGUGGCGGAAGACUCUGAAGGAGCAAUGCAAGGCCACUGAUAUUGCUAGGUAAGUAAAAUCAUGUGUUGUCCACAACAACACGGUAUUUUUUAACUUUACAUCAUUUUAAAAGUGUGCUGAUAUUAGUUGAGGUCAUAUUACAAGUUAUAGCAAUCCGUAUCGAUCUUUCUUUAUUUGUUGCAAUAUUUUCACGAAUGAAGUUGGUCAGAAUGAUUUAACUUAUGCGUAAAAUAAUUCGGUCACUAUAACAACAAAAGAUUUAAUACAGUUAAUAGCUAUUCUUAGUUAACUUAUUUUUAGCUUCCCAGACCACGUCAAUCUAGGCUUUUUAUAUCAGCAUGCUUCUGAUAGUUAAUGUUGGUCUUUUAAAACGACUUAGAUCAGUGAUUGCAUGACGUGUUUGUUUAACAUGGCUUAACAAUUUUAAAUGGUUAGUUCCAAUUAAAAUAGCUGAUGAGCUAACUAACUUUGGCACAAUGAAAUGUGAUCGAGAAUACGUGUGUAUUUUUACGUAAAGUGUGGUUGCACCACACGCACAUUUACUUAGGUUUAAAACACACUAAAACCUAUAAUAUCACGUUUUGACUGGACUAAUACGUUAAUUAUUUAUGUAUUAACAGCUUUACAGACGUACGUAAGUUAUUCCUAUUCAUAAAUAUUAAAAUCGCGGACGUUCGUAUUAAUGACAUGCUAUCUAAUAUUUAGUUUGUUUGCCAUGACACACAAAAACGCGUCUCCUAUGCAACAAUAAUUAGAACAAACCACAACAUAAAUUCAUAAAAUAUGUUCAUUUUAUUCAUUCGCUGUAAUCCACAUCUUUAAAAUUCAUACGAUUGCGAGGAACUGAUCCAAGUUCAGCCCUUUACAGCCAUCUUGAUCCCAGAUCUCAUCAGCGACUGUUAAGCAAAAUCGCGCGUUCGUAAAUUUAAAUUAAAAUAUCGCCUCACAAAGCUUUCCGACAUAUUGCAUUAUGGCAGUGAUAGUUGAACCAGCCUAACUUUGGAUUUUGAAUAUAUAUUUUCUUUGAAAACAGGGGCAAAAUGCUGUUGCGUGUUCAAUUUGGGGAAGAGCAGAAAUACGUCUAGCUGUCUGAGCCGACAUUUGAUGCUUUCUUAAAAGAAGUUAAUAAAAUAAUAAUACAAAGAAAAACAGCAGAGGAAAGAGGUGCCUCAGUCAGCAAAUCUCCUAAAGUUGGUGGGCCAGGUCGUGUUCGUCAGCCCUUCACCUUUGACAGAGCCAUUUUAAAUGAGGAUGUGGAAACAGCUAUUGCUGUUUUGAGACACUCUGCUGAUGAAAAGACUGUCCGUGAGAAGAUGAAAAUGACCUUCAUAUAUCGGCAAGCAAUGGUCAACGAUGAAGCCAAAUCAUCAGAUGUCUUCUUGGUCUUCCCACGAUUUCUGGACACACCAGGACUGAUAGAACAAGAUUUCAGAUUUCUAUUUGGUGAGGCCACGGCCAACAAAUUCUUGGAGAAGUGGCCAACCACUUUUAAAGCAAAACUAAUAAAGGAAAGCCAUGGACUUGUACCCACCACAGAACUCUUGGAUUUAAUGCGCAAAGCUGAGUCCGCUGCUGAAGUUGAGAAUGGCUGGGACAGUGACAUGUUGCUGCUGCUACAUCUGCUACCACCGUCUGCACAAGGUAGAAAGAGGCCGGGAAAGCUUUCUGCGUAUCAAGCUGUAGAUCAGCUCAUCAGAUUUCAUGCUUAAAGGGUUGGAACCAGUAUGCAGCAGCAUCUAGACAACAUCACCCAAAGCAGUCAGCCCUACCUUCUCGCCCAGGGAUCCACACAGAGCACCAUUCACUCCUACUUCAUUGUGGUUGACAAGCAUGCACUUCCAUGCAAGGCAACAGGUUCAGUUGGAGCUUUUGAUAAACUCUUUAAAGCCCAUUACGUCUUUGGUACGUCAUACAGUUCUUCCCUGAGCUGCUUUUUCACUUUUGUGCAAACAACCAUCUAUAACAUCGACUUGGGGGAAACAAAGGAGACUUCUAGAGUUGCAGAGUUGCGGGCAAGAAUGGUGCGUUAGUUUAGAUAAAACUAUGAAGUGUUUUCUUUAUGGUAAAAGAAGGUUCUGAAAUUGCUUUGGCAAUGCAAGUGCCCAGUAGCAUUCAGGUUAUGAAGGUUAAUUGGGCUAAACAUAAUGGGUUUGUUUAUCGCCCAAACUUGGUUAUCUGUGGCAAAGUUGAAUCUGAAGUGCCAGUGUUUUAUCAGAUUGAGUCAGUUCUGAUAAUGUUUGAAAAACUGUUGCUACUCACAGUGCCUUUAGGUACAGUAACUUUUUCAAGAACAUUUCCAUGCAUAUGAGGUGAUCAGAUCAAAGCAUGGAUUUUUUUUCAUGUUGAUAACCUGCAUUACCCUAGGCCUUUUGACAUACAUAUGUAUGGAGGGAAUGACACAACUCUCCUGGUCAUGCCAUAUUGCUUUCUCUGGUAAACAUUUUUAUGAGUUUUAUACAUGUUUCUGUCAGAGACAAGGCAAUGGGUUUGCAAUGUAAAUUCAAUGACAUU